rnacentral:rRNA from 1 species
AGAGUUUGAUCAUGGCUCAGGAUGAACGCUGGCGGUGUGCCUAAAACAUGCAAGUCGAGCGGCAGCGAGUUUCUCACUGUUUGCUUCUCAUUUCUCGUUUUAUCGAGGAAGGUACGAGGAGUGAAGAGUGAGAAAUGUCGGCGAGCGGCGGACGGCUGAGUAACGCGUGGGAACGUGCCCCAAAGUGAGGGAUAAGCUCAAGAAAUUGAGUCUAAUACCGCAUACGGUCUUCGGAUCAAAGCAGCAAUGCGCUUUGGGAGCGGCCUGCGUACGAUUAGGUAGUUGGUGAGGUAAAGGCUCACCAAGCCGACGAUCGUUAACUGGUCUGAGAGGAUGAUCAGUCAGACUGGAACUGAGACACGGUCCAGACUCCUACGGGAGGCAGCAGUUAGGAAUCUUCCACAAUGAGCGAAAGCCUGAUGGAGCAACACCGCGUGCUGGAUGAAGGCCUUAGGGUCGUAAACAGCUUUUGUAUACGAAGAAUAUGACGGUAAUAUACGAAUAAGGGUCGGCUAACUACGUGCCAGCAGCCGCGGUCAUACGUAGGACCCAAGCGUUAUCCGGAGUGACUGGGCGUAAAGAGUUGCGUAGGCGGCUUAUUAAGUGGAUAGUGAAAUCUGGUGGCUCAACCAUACAGACUAUUAUCCAAACUGGUAAGCUUGAGAAUGGUAGAGGUAGUUGGAAUUUCUUGUGUAGGAGUGAAAUCCGUAGAUAUAAGAAGGAACACCAAUGGCGUAGGCAGACUACUGGACCAUUUCUGACGCUGAGGCACGAAAGCGUGGGGAGCGAACCGGAUUAGAUACCCUGGUAGUCC